CAUUGCACUUGUCUCGGUCUGA
rnacentral:ncRNA from 51 species